GGCCUGGUGGUCUAGUAGUAUGAUUCCUUCUUAGGGCGUAAAUUACGUAAUAUGGAGGAGGUCCCGGGUUCAAUUCCCGGCCAGGCCC